rnacentral:rRNA from 1 species
UGGGGAAUAUUGCACAAUGGGGGAAACCCUGAUGCAGCGACGCCGCGUGAGCGAAGAAGGUUUUCGAAUCGUAAAGCCCUGUCCUAUGAGAAGAUAAUGACGGUAUCAUAGGAGGAAGCCUCGGCUAAAUACGUGCCAGCAGCCGCGGUAAUACGUAUGGGGCGAGCGUUGUCCGGAAUUAUUGGGCGUAAAGGGUACGUAGGCGGUCUAUUAAGUCAGGUGUGAAAGCGUGAGGCUUAACCUCAUUAAGCACUUGAAACUGAUAGACUUGAGUGUAGAAGAGGAAAGUGGAAUUCCUAGUGUAGCGGUGAAAUGCGUAGAUAUUAGUAGGAAUACCGGUGGCGAAGGCGACUUUCUGGACUUUUACUGACGCUCAGGUACGAAAGCGUGGGGAGCAAACAGG